rnacentral:rRNA from 1 species
CAGUCGCCGCGGGAAUACGGAGGGUGCAAGCGUUAAUCGGAAUUACUGGGCGUAAAGCGUGCGUAGGCGGUUCGUUAAGUCUGUUGUGAAAGCCCCGGGCUCAACCUGGGAAUGGCAAUGGAUACUGGCGAGCUAGAGUGUGUCAGAGGAUGGUGGAAUUCCCGAUGUAGCGGUGAAAUGCGUAGAGAUCGGGAGGAACAUCAGUGGCGAAGGCGGCCAUCUGGGACAACACUGACGCUGAGGCACGAAAGCGUGGGGAGCAAACAGGAUUAGAGACCCCCGUAGUCCCUGUCUCUUAUAC